rnacentral:tRNA from 1 species
GCAAUCGUGGCCGAGUGGUUAAGGCGAUGAACUAGAAAUCCAUUGGGGUCUCCCCACACAGGUUCGAAUCCUGUCGACUGCG